rnacentral:rRNA from 1 species
CGCGUAGGCGGCUUGUACAGUCAGACGUGAAAUUCCUGGGCUCAACCUGGGGGCUGCGUUUGAUACGUGCGGGCUUGAGUUCGGAAGAGGGUCGUGGAAUUCCCAGUGUAGAGGUGAAAUUCGUAGAUAUUGGGAAGAACACCGGUGGCGAAGGCGGCGACCUGGUCCGAUACUGACGCUGAGGCGCGAAAGCGUGGGGAAGCAAACA